CCUACGGGGGGCAGCAGUAGGGAAUCUUCCGCAAUGGACGAAAGUCUGACGGAGCAACGCCGCGUGAGCGAAGAAGGUCUUCGGAUCGUAAAGCUCUGUUGUUAGGGAAGAACAAGUACCGGAGUAACUGUCGGUACCUUGACGGUACCUAACCAGAAAGCCACGGCUAAGUACGUGCCAGCAGCCGCGGUAAUAUGUAGGUGGCAAGCGUUUUACGGAAUCAUUGGGCGUAAAGCGCGCGCAGGCGGUCCUUUAAGUCUGAUGUGAAAUCUUGCGGCACAACCGUAAGCGGUCAUUGGAAACUGGGGGGUAUAAGGGCAGGAGAGGAAAGCGGAAUUACGUGUGUAGCGGUGAAAUGCUUGAAGAAAUGGGGGAACACGAGUGUGGAAGGCGGAUUUCUGGCCUGUAACUGACGCUAAGGCGCGAAAGCGUGGGUAGCAAACAGGAUUAGAUACACUAUUAGUC
rnacentral:rRNA from 1 species